rnacentral:lncRNA from 1 species
AACAGGCAGGCUUCUGAACUAAACACACACCUGAUUUGGUUAUCUAGCUUGAGAGAAACUUCUGCCAUCCAGUUGGGUAAACGAAUGAGCUUUUGAGAGAAUGAACUAGUAUGUGAACAGAAGUGAACGCAAGCAGCCUUGGCUUCUGCAGACCACCACCAACUAGGGCUGCCAGAGUGAUGGUGACUAUUCUCAACAGACUGCAAAAUCCACAGUGAAUGUCAAAUUCCUUCCAAAGGAAAGGAUUGAUUCUGUUAUUGAGGAGGGAGACAUAAGCAGUUCUGAUGUGAGAAAAGGGAAGAGGCUAAAGAGGAAAGUGACACACAAUGGGAGAAGGACCCAACCCUGCCCCUUGUCUUUGAAGAGGAUGGAAGGGGCCAUGAACAAUCCACAAUUCUAGCAUUUGAAAUCUCGAUAUUUUCCUAUGUGACCCCUUUACAAAAAUCUUCAGGGGUACACACCAAGCACAGGGAGGUUGUGAUAAAGAGAGCUAAGUCAUGGGCCUUGUGGCAAGAAGAUCUGCUGCUCCGAUGGGAACCCCCUGGCCCCACCAUGCAGGAGGCAGGUCAUCACCUUAUAUUCAGUCUUUGCAUUAGAAAAUGAAGCAGCAUUGUUCACUAUGAGCAGGAACAACAGCUGCAGUGGAGUCUGGACACAGGGACAGAAAUGCCCCAGACCCUGUCCUGUCCUAAUAUCAAACACAACUAUGUUGUGGUGUCUGUUCCCUAUAAUGGGUUAUGAACUUAGAAUGGAAUCUCCUCUGGGGAUAUUUUAGGGACACCCAUGUAAUGGUUGCUGAAACUGGGGAUCAAAGACAGAGUACUGGUGGUUGCAAGAGAUAGGGCACAGCCAACCACUCCAAGGCCCCCUCCAAUGUGAGUGCAGAAAGUGGCCAUCUUUUGUUGACCCCAUUGGAGAAACAGACUGAUGAGAUGGCUUGCUUCCCUGGUGGGCUCUCUCUGAAGCUGCUGGUUCACUCGCUCAAUGAUAUGUGACAUCUCACUGCAAGGAAUAAAGGACUAUUUGAU